AUCGGCCACACUGGGACUGAGACACGGCCCAGACUCCUACGGGAGGCAGCAGUAGGGAAUCUUCCGCAAUGGACGAAAGUCUGACGGAGCAACGCCGCGUGAGUGAUGAAGGUUUUCGGAUCGUAAAGCUCUGUUGUUAGGGAAGAACAAGUACCGUUCGAAUAGGGCGGUACCUUGACGGUACCUAACCAGAAAGCCACGGCUAACUACGUGCCAGCAGCCGCGGUAAUACGUAGGUGGCAAGCGUUGUCCGGAAUUAUUGGGCGUAAAGGGCUCGCAGGCGGUUUCUUAAGUCUGAUGUGAAAGCCCCCGGCUCAACCGGGGAGGGUCAUUGGAAACUGGGGAACUUGAGUGCAGAAGAGGAGAGUGGAAUUCCACGUGUAGCGGUGAAAUGCGUAGAGAUGUGGAGGAAC
rnacentral:rRNA from 1 species